GUGUCAGCCGCCGCGGUAAUACGGGGGGUGCGAGCGUUGUCCGGAAUCACUGGGCGUAAAGGGCGCGUAGGUGGCAUGAUAAGGGUGUGGUGAAAGCCCGGGGCUCAACCCCGGGUCGGCCAUGCCGACUGUCAAGCUGGAGUACUGUAGGGGCAGGCGGAAUUCCGGGUGUAGCGGUGGAAUGCGUAGAGAUCCGGAGGAAGACCGGUGGCGAAGGCGGCCUGCUGGGCAGUUACUGACACUGAUGCGCGACAGCGUGGGGAGCAAACAGGAUUAGAAACCCGAGUAGUCC
rnacentral:rRNA from 1 species